CAAAACAUGACAGACACCUUCAGGAACUCGGAGUCCCAGUCCCACCUUAGACCUGGUUUAGUCCCGGUUUAGUCCCGGUUUAGUCCCGGUUUAGUCCGGGGAUGGUCUGGUGAGCGAGAGAUGAGAGGAUACAGAGGAGUGAAGUACACACUGUUCGUCUGCUGCUACGUUUUCUGGGUGGUGAGUUCUCUUCUGAUCGCUGUGGGGAUUUACGCCAAAGUUGCUAAAGAAAAAGAUGUGGUGGACACGUUGACCCUUGACCCCGCCCUGCUGCUCAUCGUCGUGGGGACGGUGACGUUCCUCAUCACGUUCAUCGGCUGCUGGGGAGCGCUCCGCAACGCC